GUUUAUCAAGACAGGAAACUAAAGGAGCUUGAAAGUGCUGGUUCCUCCACACCAGACUCCUGAAACUCAGGUUUGUUGGUGGAAGGGACUUACCAUGUCUCAGAUGAAACUUUGGACUGUGAACUUUUGAGUUAAUACUGCAAUGAGUUAAGACUGAAUUUGGUUCCCUGACUGGGAACACCUUGCUUGUGGCUCCACUGCUGAAGGCUAUGAGUCUCAGAAGCCCUGCUAAGCAGCUGCCUGCCCAUUUCUGGCUGGAAGUGAGUUUUGGUUUCUCUCUGGUCCUGCCACAGCCAGCCCCAACCAAGUUCCUGAUUGUCUAGGAAGAAUUGCCUCUGAAAUUUGACAUCUGCAUCCAGAUAGGUGAGUGUCCUUUGAGGGCCCAGACAGCAGGAUCUCCUCCUCUCACCUAGGGAAAAUUUUAAAGGGUAUUUCCAUUUGCAGGUUGAGCAAAUCCAACUGCCUGGGAGAGGGAAACACUCUGACUCUUUCAUUAUGGACACUCUUGUGGCUUGUUUGUUGCUGCAGCAGUUGGAUUGUAUUUUGGUGAUAGUGUGGGUUUGACAUAGUCAUGGGAAAUUAGAAAUUGAUAAACUGAUAUUCUUUUCUAAUACUGUUUAGCCCCAGUGUUCUUUGGAAUCUGAAGUUUGAUGUUAAAUGGGAAAGCAAGAUGGCGUUCCAUGUAUUCAGGCUUUUAUAUUGCUGUUUGAAGCAGGAUUGGGCUGGUUAGUAGGUUCCAGGUGCUGUUCGUCUGUGGUGUUGUUUGUCUGUGGGGCUGUUUGGCCUCAGUGCUCUUUGGAGUCUAGGGAGGUUUGGCCUUUAAAAGUCAAACUGCCAUAGAAACUGCUUACCCAAAAUUUUGGUUCAUAGCUUUCAUUGGAUUACCUCUCAGGUCAGGGCUAACAAAGUUCAGCCAUGUGAACAUGUUUGUAGACUGGUGAGUUUCUUUGUUAUCUCAUGGCUAGAGUACCAAGGUAAGAGGUAUUGGAUAUUUGUGUGCAUGUAUACAUGUCUAGAUGCGUUUAUGUGUAUGUACAUUUAUUAUGUUGUAUAUGGUGUCUACCAAAUUAACUUAUAAAUAAUAGAGUACUCAUAAAUUAAGUAAAUAAGUCCAAGCAAUUGUCAAGUUCAUGUGACUUAAGUGAAUCUUUACUGAACAAGUUGGCUUUAAAAUUGUAGGUAAAAUAAAAAUAGAAAUGUCUUAAAAUGUCCAUGCAGUUAACUUUAAGGUUCUUCUUUAAGUGAACACCUGAUAUUCACAGGUUAUAAAAUGGUAAACAAGGAAAUAAGUGAUGCAUAAAUAAUCUAGAUAUGCUAAAAAUAAGUAAAGUAAAAUAAUAAAGUAAAAUAUAAAGAAUAAGUAC